rnacentral:rRNA from 1 species
UACGGAGGAGCCAAGCGUUGUCCGGAUUGACUGGGCGUAAAGCGCACGCAGGCGGGUGCGCGCGUGGGGGGUGAAACCAGGUGGCUUAACUGCCUGUCGCCAUCCCAUACGGCGCGCCUGGAGCCAUCCAGAGGUCGGUGGAAUUGCCGGUGUAGUGGUGAAAUGCGUAGAGAUCGGCAGGAACACCCAGGGGGAAACCAGUGGACUGGGCAGGAGCUGACGCUCAGGUGCGAAAGCGUGGGGAGCGAACCGG